GAAUAGGUAACACUGAGGUGACUAUUACUCCUGUCAGUUAUUGCGUUAGUGAAAGCAGUGCCCAUACUCCAGCUGGUAUUGCUGAUGUUGAAGAAACUUUCCAAAACGAGCCAAAGAAAGAAAUAGUCGAAAGUCUGGCAAAGAAAGGGAAGACUGCAGUGAAGCGACAUGAUAAGCUAAAGGACAACCUUAGCGAAUUCUAUACUCCAAGUUCCAAAAAAAGAAGAACAAAUUAACAAUUUAACAUUAAUUUUAAUUACUUCAUUAAUUAAGUUCAAUUAAUUUCCAUUGUAAAAUAAGAAAUCUUUAGAUCUGUAACUCAAAUUCAGUGCAA